AAAAAUCCAAAAAUUUUCUCUCUCUCCCCCUUUCUUCUCCCCAAAAUCCGGCCAAGCUUCCGGCGAGCCAACGCCGUAGCGUCACCACGCCGGCCACCGUACACGGUGGCCGAAAAACAGAAAAGGUAUUUUUUUUGCUCUUUCUCUUUAUAUUUUUUUUCUUUUUUGCAAAUGUAAACUGUUUUUCAAAAUAAAUAAAUAAAUAAAUAAAAAUAAAAAUAAACAACAAUAAAAAGAGAUAAAAAAGAAAGAAAUGCAAAACGGAAAUCACCUUUGAUUUUUAUAUUUCUUGGUUUUGUGAAAUGUUACAAAAGAAACAAAAAAAAAAGAAUCCCCUUUUACAGUGUUCGGCUUUUGCCGAAAGAGAAAAAACUCCGAAAAAAAUCCCCCCAUUUCGGUUUACAAAUCAUUUUUAUACCCGAAAUAAAAUAAAAUAAAAAUAAAUUGAUCUUUGCUAUUGUCUCCUGUGCCUUUGCUUGUUUCUCUCUGUUUGGCAUCUGUUUUUGCAGGAGUAGGUGCGGCGUCAAAGGUAGGAGUGAACGGCGUCGGCGCUGAUGGGAUGUGCGGCGAUGGCAGAGCAGGGGUCAGAAUGGUACGGCGCAUGCGGAAGGGGCUAGGGUUCUGAAACCCUAGUCUUUGUUGGGUUUGGGCCAUAAUGUUUGGGCUUGUUUUGAAUCGGGUUAGUAUUUGGGUCUGGGUAGGUUUAGGUUUGUUUAGGCCCGAGCGAAAUUGGGCUUGUACAAUGUAGAACAUAAUUCUUCCAAAAUGAAUUAGAAUAUUGGUCUUUGUUUUGCAGCUUUAGCAAUGCGAUUGUUCUUUACCCUCAUUCCCUGCAUUCAUCUUUUCUAACUGGUUAUUGGAUUUGAUCCC
rnacentral:lncRNA from 1 species